GGGAGCGGAUCGUCGCUGGUGUGGCGCACGGCCUUCAAAGCCGUUGGGGUGCGUGUACAGCGCGCUCGGUGGGUUCGAUUCCCAUGCGCUCCCGCCA
rnacentral:tRNA from 2 species